GUGAGUGUGUAUGGGUGUGUAUGCAUGCAUGUAUAUAUUAUUAAGUCUCUUUUUUUUUCAGUUUCUUUCCCCCCCCCCCAAUCUACCGUAUAGAACGGAGUAAUACAUGUUCUGUAUCCCUACUACCUUACGGCUGUCCGCUCUGCUGACAUCAAACUAGAAAGACAGACAGACAGACAGACAGGAAAGCAGACAGAAAGAACGGUGAACAAAAACAGAAUGUAACAAAUAAACAAACACAAGGAGGAUUAUUAACCAGAGAGAAACCAAAAAGAACGAAAAAGAAACGAAUAACAACAACAACAAUAAUAAUAAUAAUAAUAAUAAUAAUAAUAAUAAUAAUAAUAAUAAUAUAAUAAUAAUAACAAUAACAAUAAUAGUAGUAAGAAUUGUAAUAGUAAUAAUAAUAAUAAUAAUAAUAAUAAUAAUAAUAAUAACCAUAGAACGACAAAUACAUGAAGAAAAAAUAAGGCAGUUUUUCGUUCGAUUUUUCUGUAUUUAAAAUGACAACCUCUGCAAAAUCCAAUGGAAUAUACAUCAACAUCGGCUUCGUCAUAACUUUAAGCCACAUCAUUGCAUUCUUUCUGACAACGUCAAUCAUUACUAAAACAGAAUGUGAGUCUUACGCGUACAACACCAACAGAGGCAAUAGAAGAACUGGCCUGAAUGAACGUCGAGUCGACAAUUCAUUACGGAGUUUGAAUAGAGAAAGAAACAGCGAGAAGAAACGAGACGAGUACCAUUAUUUCUCGCAUGCGGACUCCCGUAAACAUCCAUCCGUUUGGUCAAGUUGGAGUUGGUGGUCAAAGUGCUCUCGAACUUGCGGCCAUGGUGUAAGAAUGAGAUCAAGAAAUUGUCUUGUAUGGACUGGAAGCCGUUACGCUAAAACUUAUUUGUCUUCUUGCUCCGAUACAAAUGUGGAUUUUCAUGUUUGUAAAACUGAGGAUUGCAGUGCAAACAGCCAGGAUUUUCGAGACUACCAGUGCUCUUUGUACAACCAGCCGAGGGUACGUCUUUCAUAUGGUGGAAAAUGGAAUCCAGUUUUCACAGAGAAAACACCCUGCCGCCUGAUAUGUGAAAACACGCUAUAUCCCAUUCAGAAAUCAUUUGGGACUGUUCUUGAUGGCACAUAUUGUUACAGACAAGGCACAGAUAUGUGCGUACAUGGUGAAUGUAAGAAAGUUGGCUGCGAUAACCAUUUGAACUCACGUCAAAAGGUUGAUAUGUGUGGAAUAUGUGGUGGCCAAAACGACACUUGCCGAAAAAUUGAAGGAAGGUAUGCCGAACGUUUACCAGUUCCACGAGAUGAUAACAAUGGUUACAAUGAAAUGUUUGAAUUACCAGCUGGUGCCACUGAACUUUCAGUUGAAGAGACAAGCCGAAAUUUCUUAGCUUUGAUGUCGGCAAACAAGACGUUUGAAUUGAAUGGAAACUAUAACGUAGAAUCUUCAGGAAGGAAAAAUAUUGCUGGAACAGAACUAUUUUACGAACGUGAUGGAAACAAGAACGAAUCACUUCGAAUAGUCGGUCCAACAAAGGAAAAAAUCUAUGUAUUGUUACUUUAUAAAGAACACAACAAAGGACUCAACUAUGAAUAUUGGAUGCCAGAUAAUUCUUCACAAAAUAAAUAUCCAACUCAUCCACCUAUCACGAGGAAAAAUGGUUUGAAAGACCUUCGAAACCAUCGAGAACGUUCACAUUCGCAGAUGAUAAAAAAUAUACACUCAAGAAUCAAGCAAUUUUACAGAACAUCUUCGCCAAGAAAUGCUAACACUCAGUUCGAUAGAAGACCAUUGCCGAACGUAGCAAAAAUCAAAAAUCAUAAUUUGAAAAAGGCAGCCAAGAGGUCUUUCAAAGAUGGAAGGAAAAUUGAUCGGAAAUCAAAAACCUACAAUUCAAGUAACAAUCACAAGAAAGCAAAUUGUGGUUCAUGCAAAAGAACUAAGAAGCGUAAAGAAUUAUUUUGCCAAGGUGCUUUUGUGAGUCAUAUAAGUGUGAGGUCUGUGAGUAAAGUGAAAAACCAAGUCCGCUACGAUGUCGCCGUGAGAAAACUUUACCGCUACACUUUACCACUGAUGUCGAGAGAAUUCAUUUACUUGGCAAAGGGCUGCCAUUGUCCCAAGUUGAUAAAGGGCAAAGAUUAUUUGGUCAUCGGUUACAUAAAUCCUCAUGAAAAACGCGAGAUUCAGUUAAUCUUACCAUCAGACACAUAUUACAGGACUUAUACAAAUUUUGCCGGUAGAAAAUUAGAUGAAUUGAGCAAAAAGUACCGAUGUCCUGCCAGUUAAUUUUUCGAUGGAUGUAAAUGUUUGGUGGGCUUUAUUGCUUGAUUAGUGUAACUAUUGAAGUGCAUCCAUUCGAUAAAACUUGGAAAUCCAUGAAAGGUUUCAAAAUCCAGAAUCUCCUCUUUCUAGAAAUCAUGGUUGAAAACAGAAUAAAAAGUUUUAUCUGAUUUCCAAAUUAUAAAUCUGGCCUUAAUUGUUCUCUGUGGCGACCUGUUGUCGAGCUUUUCGAGCGAACACGUACGCAUGAUUACAGGCACACACAGGCGAUUGUUUUAUAUUUGUGAAGAUAUAGAAUCUAAUCUUUUAAAAACUAUUUGACAUAGCUACCAAAUUUACUUAUAUAUAAAAUCAGAAUUUGUUUUACAAAACAAUAAAGUAAAUCAAGCAAUGAGAAAAAAACACUUAUGCUAGAAAAAUAAUGAAAAACUAUCUCACAUGAUAUCGAUUUAACUUGAAUUCUUAACUUUAUUUUUUAAAAAACAGUAUAGCUAUAGCAUAAAAUCACUAUAAAUCUUUAAACAAAUCAAUAACUUUAUUUACACUAUCAAUAUCAAUAUAAUAUUUCUUUAUACAAAUUUAAAAUCAAAAUUUUUUUUUAAUUUUCUCACCCCAAAUACAAAUUUUCAAAUUUCUAUACGUAUUUCUAUAAAAAGUUUUGUCUUUCUAAAAAAUGUUUGUUCUUCGUAAAAAA
rnacentral:misc_RNA from 1 species